AAAUUGAAGAGUUUGAUCAUGGCUCAGAUUGAACGCUGGCGGCAGGCCUAACACAUGCAAGUCGAACGGUAACAGGAAGCAGCUUGCUGCUUUGCUGACGAGUGGCGGACGGGUGAGUAAUGUCUGGGAAACUGCCCGAUGGAGGGGGAUAACUACUGGAAACGGUAGCUAAUACCGCAUAACGUCGCAAGACCAAAGAGGGGGACCUUAGGGCCUCUUGCCAUCGGAUGUGCCCAGAUGGGAUUAGCUAGUAGGUGGGGUAAUGGCUCACCUAGGCGACGAUCC
rnacentral:rRNA from 1 species